CGGUUGAUCCUGCCGGAGGUUACUGCUAUCGGGGUUCGAUUAAGCCAUGCAAGUUAAAUGUUUUUCGUAAACAUAGCGAACUGCUCAGUAACACGUGGAUAACUUAACCUUAGGUCCGGCAUAACCCCGGGAAACUGGGGAUAAUUCCGGAUGUAUCAAGGAUGCUGGAAUGCCCUUUGGUUCAAAGUUUUUGUGCCUAAGGAUAGGUCUGCGGUCUAUCAGGUUGUAGUGGGUGUAACGUACCUACUAGCCGACGACGGAUACGGGUUGUGAGAGCAAGAGCCCGGAGAUGGAUUCUGAGACAAGAAUCCAGGCCCUACGGGGUGCAGCAGGCGCGAACACUUUACAAUGCGGGAAACCGCGAUAAGGGAACCCCGAGUGCCAGUACUAAGUGCUGGCUGUCUAGAUGAAUAGAUAUCAUUUAAUAGCAAGGGCCGGGCAAGACCGGUGCCAGCCGCCGCGGUAACACCGGCGGCCCGAGUGGUAACCGAUAUUAUUGGGUCUAAAGGGUCCGUAGCCUGUUUAAUAAGUCCUUUGGGAAAUCUGGCAGCUUAACUGUCAGGCUGCUAAAGGAUACUGUUAAACUUGGGACCGGUAGACGUAGGGGGUACUCCAGGGGUAGGAGUGAAAUCUUGUAAUCCCUGGGGGACCAUCUGUGGCGAAGGCGCCCUACGAGAACGGGUCCGACGGUGAGGGACGAAAGCUAGGGGAGCAAACCGGAUUAGAUACCCGGGUAGUCCUAGCUGUAAACGAUGCUCGCUAGGUGUCAGGCACGGUGCGUCCGUGUCUGGUGCCGCAGGGAAGCCGUUAAGCGAGCCACCUGGGGAGUACGGUCGCAAGGCUGAAAUUUAAAGGAAUUGGCGGGGGAGCACUACAACGGGUGGAGCCUGCGGUUUAAUUGGAUUCAACGCCGGA
rnacentral:rRNA from 1 species